GCCCGGGUGGUGGAAUUGGUAGACACAAGAGACUUAAAAUCUCUCGGCCUUCGGGCUGUACGGGUUCAAAUCCCGUCCUGGGUACCA
rnacentral:tRNA from 1 species